AUGGAGGCGGCGGCGGCGAAGACGACGAGCGUUGUGUGCGUGACCGGCGCAGGGGGCUUCGUCGCCUCGUGGCUCGUCAAGCUCCUCCUCUCCGACCCCAAGGCCCGCUACACCGUCCGCGGCACGGCGCGCGAUCCCGGUGAUGCUAAGAAUGCUCAUCUCAAGGGGCUAGGCGGUGCCGAGGAAAGGUUGCAGCUGGUCAAGGCCGACCUUUUGGACUACGACAGUGUAGCGGCGGCGAUUGCCGGCUGUGAGGGCGUCUUCCAUGUCGCCUGUCCUGUCCCCUCUGGCCGAUCAACCGACCCAGAGGCAGAGAUCAUAGCUCCUGCUGUAACAGGCACACUGAAUGUGCUGAAGGCCUGCCAUGAGGCGAAAGUUAAGCGAGUAGUCAUGGUGUCUUCAGGUGUUGCAGUGGUCGCUAAUCCUAACUGGCCCAAGGGCAAAGCCUUUGAUGAAGAGAGCUGGUCAGACGAGGACUACUGCAGAAAGAAUGGGGAUUGGUAUUACCUUUCCAAAACACUGGCGGAGCGCGAGGCUUUUGCUUAUGCAGCAAAAACUGGGUUGGACAUUGUAACUAUAUGCCCAUCAUUGGUAAUUGGACCCUUGAUGCAGUCUACAAUAAAUUCAAGCAGUAAAAUUCUCCUUAACUAUUUGAAAGGAGAACAUGAUACUGUAGAAAAUAAAAGCAGGGAUAUAGUGGAUGUUCGUGAUGUUGCUGAUGCUAUUCUUCUGGCGUAUGAGAAUCCAGAGAUGUCCGGACGGUACAUAUGUAAUGCACCUGCAAUAAAAGUCUGUGAUAUGGUUAACAUACUGAAGACCUUGUAUCCAACCUACACAUAUCCCAAAAGCUUUACGGAAGUGGAAGGAAAUCUUGUUUAUAGUUCAGAGAAACUUCAGAAGCUAGGGUGGACCUUCAGGCCUGUAGAGAAGACCCUGGGGGACAGCGUCGAAUCCUACCGAGCAUCUGGACUCCUGAACUGA
rnacentral:rRNA from 1 species